AAAAAAAGUAAAGCAAAAGCAACCACAGUCCACAUUGGUGAUCCACUGCUGUUACAAAUUACUGGACCAGAUGGCUAUACAGUCGAACCUAUUAUUUGUUCUGCAAAUAGUGUACUAAAACCUCAGAAUGCCGAUUAUGUUCUAUGGAAAAAUGAUACAUGUCGUUCAAAUGAUCUAGCUGUAAUAGAAAAUACCUGGAAGCAUGACAUCACUUCCAAUCGUACAAUUACAAUAGAUAUGUAUGGUUUUCGUUUUGUGGACUCCGACAACGUGAUUGUGAAAUGCAAAGCCUUGUUUUGUCCUCAAGGGGAUAUGUGCCCUUCAAGUCACUGUGUGAAUGGUACUACAAGCCGUAGGAAAAAAAGAAAUGCCGGCUUAGAAACCGAAUCUAAGAAUGGUUACAUAGAAAAACAUAUUUCGACUUAUUUCACUGUUGUUGACAAAAGAAUGGACACAAGUGCUUGUUCAGGUACAUUUGUGAGUGUUUUUACGUAUGUCACAGCAUUUGUAUUGAUGUUUGCGCUCAUGUGAAACAGUAACGUAUACCCCCUUUUAAAUUCACAAAGAAGAAAAACAUUUAAAAUUUAUGUAUGUCAUUAAAUGUUGUUAU